AGCGUACACGGUGGAUGCCCUGGCAGUCAGAGGCGAUGAAGGACGUGCUAAUCUGCGAUAAGCGUCGGUAAGGUGAUAUGAACCGUUAUAACCGGCGAUUUCCGAAUGGGGAAACCCAGUGUGUUUCGACACACUAUCAUUAACUGAAUCCAUAGGUUAAUGAGGCGAACCGGGGGAACUGAAACAUCUAAGUACCCCGAGGAAAAGAAAUCAACCGAGAUUCCCCCAGUAGCGGCGAGCGAACGGGGAGCAGCCCAGAGCCUGAAUCAGUGUGUGUGUUAGUGGAAGCGUCUGGAAAGGCGCGCGAUACAGGGUGACAGCCCCGUACACAAAAAUGCACAUGCUGUGAGCUCGAUGAGUAGGGCGGGACACGUGGUAUCCUGUCUGAAUAUGGGGGGACCAUCCUCCAAGGCUAAAUACUCCUGACUGACCGAUAGUGAACCAGUACCGUGAGGGAAAGGCGAAAAGAACCCCGGCGAGGGGAGUGAAAAAGAACCUGAAACCGUGUACGUACAAGCAGUGGGAGCACGCUUCGGCGUGUGACUGCGUACCUUUUGUAUAAUGGGUCAGCGACUUAUAUUCUGUAGCAAGGUUAACCGAAUAGGGGAGCCGAAGGGAAACCGAGUCUUAACUGGGCGUUAAGUUGCAGGGUAUAGACCCGAAACCCGGUGAUCUAGCCAUGGGCAGGUUGAAGGUUGGGUAACACUAACUGGAGGACCGAACCGACUAAUGUUGAAAAAUUAGCGGAUGACUUGUGGCUGGGGGUGAAAGGCCAAUCAAACCGGGAGAUAGCUGGUUCUCCCCGAAAGCUAUUUAGGUAGCGCCUCGUGAAUUCAUCUCCGGGGGUAGAGCACUGUUUCGGCAAGGGGGUCAUCCCGACUUACCAACCCGAUGCAAACUGCGAAUACCGGAGAAUGUUAUCACGGGAGACACACGGCGGGUGCUAACGUCCGUCGUGAAGAGGGAAACAACCCAGACCGCCAGCUAAGGUCCCAAAGUCAUGGUUAAGUGGGAAACGAUGUGGGAAGGCCCAGACAGCCAGGAUGUUGGCUUAGAAGCAGCCAUCAUUUAAAGAAAGCGUAAUAGCUCACUGGUCGAGUCGGCCUGCGCGGAAGAUGUAACGGGGCUAAACCAUGCACCGAAGCUGCGGCAGCGACACUGUGUGUUGUUGGGUAGGGGAGCGUUCUGUAAGCCUGUGAAGGUGUACUGUGAGGUAUGCUGGAGGUAUCAGAAGUGCGAAUGCUGACAUAAGUAACGAUAAAGCGGGUGAAAAGCCCGCUCGCCGGAAGACCAAGGGUUCCUGUCCAACGUUAAUCGGGGCAGGGUGAGUCGACCCCUAAGGCGAGGCCGAAAGGCGUAGUCGAUGGGAAACAGGUUAAUAUUCCUGUACUUGGUGUUACUGCGAAGGGGGGACGGAGAAGGCUAUGUUGGCCGGGCGACGGUUGUCCCGGUUUAAGCGUGUAGGCUGGUUUUCCAGGCAAAUCCGGAAAAUCAAGGCUGAGGCGUGAUGACGAGGCACUACGGUGCUGAAGCAACAAAUGCCCUGCUUCCAGGAAAAGCCUCUAAGCAUCAGGUAACAUCAAAUCGUACCCCAAACCGACACAGGUGGUCAGGUAGAGAAUACCAAGGCGCUUGAGAGAACUCGGGUGAAGGAACUAGGCAAAAUGGUGCCGUAACUUCGGGAGAAGGCACGCUGAUAUGUAGGUGAAGCGACUUGCUCGUGGAGCUGAAAUCAGUCGAAGAUACCAGCUGGCUGCAACUGUUUAUUAAAAACACAGCACUGUGCAAACACGAAAGUGGACGUAUACGGUGUGACGCCUGCCCGGUGCCGGAAGGUUAAUUGAUGGGGUUAGCGCAAGCGAAGCUCUUGAUCGAAGCCCCGGUAAACGGCGGCCGUAACUAUAACGGUCCUAAGGUAGCGAAAUUCCUUGUCGGGUAAGUUCCGACCUGCACGAAUGGCGUAAUGAUGGCCAGGCUGUCUCCACCCGAGACUCAGUGAAAUUGAACUCGCUGUGAAGAUGCAGUGUACCCGCGGCAAGACGGAAAGACCCCGUGAACCUUUACUAUAGCUUGACACUGAACAUUGAGCCUUGAUGUGUAGGAUAGGUGGGAGGCUUAGAAGUGUGGACGCCAGUCUGCAUGGAGCCGACCUUGAAAUACCACCCUUUAAUGUUUGAUGUUCUAACGUUGACCCGUAAUCCGGGUUGCGGACAGUGUCUGGUGGGUAGUUUGACUGGGGCGGUCUCCUCCUAAAGAGUAACGGAGGAGCACGAAGGUUGGCUAAUCCUGGUCGGACAUCAGGAGGUUAGUGCAAUGGCAUAAGCCAGCUUGACUGCGAGCGUGACGGCGCGAGCAGGUGCGAAAGCAGGUCAUAGUGAUCCGGUGGUUCUGAAUGGAAGGGCCAUCGCUCAACGGAUAAAAGGUACUCCGGGGAUAACAGGCUGAUACCGCCCAAGAGUUCAUAUCGACGGCGGUGUUUGGCACCUCGAUGUCGGCUCAUCACAUCCUGGGGCUGAAGUAGGUCCCAAGGGUAUGGCUGUUCGCCAUUUAAAGUGGUACGCGAGCUGGGUUUAGAACGUCGUGAGACAGUUCGGUCCCUAUCUGCCGUGGGCGCUGGAGAACUGAGGGGGGCUGCUCCUAGUACGAGAGGACCGGAGUGGACGCAUCACUGGUGUUCGGGUUGUCAUGCCAAUGGCACUGCCCGGUAGCUAAAUGCGGAAGAGAUAAGUGCUGAAAGCAUCUAAGCACGAAACUUGCCCCGAGAUGAGUUCU
rnacentral:rRNA from 1 species